rnacentral:rRNA from 1 species
UACAGAGGGGGCAAGCGUUGUUCGGAGUUACUGGGCGUAAAGAGUGCGUAGGCGGUUUUCUAAGUUUGGUGUGAAAUCUCCCGGCUCAACUGGGAGGGUGCGCCGAAGACUGGAAGGCUUGAGUAUGGGAGAGGUAAGCGGAAUUCCUGGUGUAGCGGUGAAAUGCGUAGAUAUCAGGAGGAACACCUGCGGUGUAGACGGCUUACUGGACCAUAACUGACGCUGAGGCACGAAAGCGUGGGUAGCAAACAGG